GGGUUGUGAGGUUAAGCGACUAAGCGUACACGGUGGAUGCCCUGGCAGUCAGAGGCGAUGAAGGGCGUGCUAAUCUGCGAUAAGCGCCGGUAAGGUGAUAUGAACCGUUAUAACCGGCGAUACCCGAAUGGGGAAACCCAGUGUGAUUCGUCACACUAUCAUUAACUGAAUCCAUAGGUUAAUGAGGCGAACCGGGGGAACUGAAACAUCUAAGUACCCCGAGGAAAAGAAAUCAACCGAGAUUCCCCCAGUAGCGGCGAGCGAACGGGGAGGAGCCCAGAGCCUGAAUCAGCAUGUGUGUUAGUGGAAGCGUCUGGAAAGGCGCGCGAUACAGGGUGACAGCCCCGUACACAAAAGCGCAUGUGCUGUGAGCUCGAUGAGUAGGGCGGGACACGUGGUAUCCUGUCUGAAUAUGGGGGGACCAUCCUCCAAGGCUAAAUACUCCUGACUGACCGAUAGUGAACCAGUACCGUGAGGGAAAGGCGAAAAGAACCCCGGCGAGGGGAGUGAAAAAGAACCUGAAACCGUGUACGUACAAGCAGUGGGAGCACAGGUUUACCUGUGUGACUGCGUACCUUUUGUAUAAUGGGUCAGCGACUUAUAUUCUGUAGCAAGGUUAACCGAAUAGGGGAGCCGGAGGGAAACCGAGUCUUAAUUGGGCGUUAAGUUGCAGGGUAUAGACCCGAAACCCGGUGAUCUAGCCAUGGGCAGGUUGAAGGUUGGGUAACACUAACUGGAGGACCGAACCGACUAAUGUUGAAAAAUUAGCGGAUGACCUGUGGCUGGGGGUGAAAGGCCAAUCAAACCGGGAGAUAGCUGGUUCUCCCCGAAAGCUAUUUAGGUAGCGCCUCGUGAAUUCAUCUCCGGGGGUAGAGCACUGUUUCGGCUAGGGGGCCAUCCCGGCUUACCAACCCGAUGCAAACUGCGAAUACCGGAGAAUGUUAUCACGGGAGACACACGGCGGGUGCUAACGUCCGUCGUGAAGAGGGAAACAACCCAGACCGCCAGCUAAGGUCCCAAAGUCAUGGUUAAGUGGGAAACGAUGUGGGAAGGCCCAGACAGCCAGGAUGUUGGCUUAGAAGCAGCCAUCAUUUAAAGAAAGCGUAAUAGCUCACUGGUCGAGUCGGCCUGCGCGGAAGAUGUAACGGGGCUAAACCAUGCACCGAAGCUGCGGCAGCGACACUGUGUGUUGUUGGGUAGGGGAGCGUUCUGUAAGCCUGUGAAGGUGUGUCGU
rnacentral:rRNA from 1 species